rnacentral:rRNA from 1 species
GACGAACGCUGGCGGCGUGCUUAACACAUGCAAGUCGAGCGGAGCGGCGGACGGGUGAGUAAUGCCUAGGAAUCUGCCUGGUAGUGGGGGAUAACGUCCGGAAACGGGCGCUAAUACCGCAUACUAUCAGAUGAGCCUAGGUCGGAUUAGCUAGUUGGUGGGGUACAGGCCUACCAAGGCGACGAUCCGUAACUGGUCUGAGAGGAUGAUCAGUCAAACUGGAAAUUAGACACGGUCCAGACUCCUACUGGAGGCAGCAGUGGGGAAUAUUGGACAAUGGGCGAAAGCCUGAUCCAGCCAUGCCGCGUGUGUGAAGAAGGUCUUCGGAUUGUAAAGCACUUUAAGUUGGGAGGCGUUACCAACAGAAUAAGCACCGGCUAACUUCGUGCCAGCCGGCGCGGUAAUAG